rnacentral:rRNA from 1 species
CCUACGGGGGGCAGCAGUGGGGAAUAUUGCACGAUGGGGGAAACCCUGAUGCAGCGACGCCGCGUGAGUGAAGAAGUAUUUCGGUAUGUAAAGCUCUUUUAGCAGGGAAGAAAAUGACGGUACCUGACUAAGAAGCCACGGCUAACUACGUGCCAGCAGCCGCGGGAAUACGUAGGGGGCAAGCGUUAUCCGGAUUUACUGGGUGUAAAGGGAGCGUAGACGGGCAGACAAGUCAGACGUGAAAGCCCAGGGCUCAACCCUGGGAGUGCGUUUGAAACUGCCGGGCUGGAGUGCAGGAGAGGUAGGCGGAAUUCGUGGUGUAGCGGUGAAAUGCGUAGAUAUUAGGAAGAACACCGAUGGCGAAGGCAGCUUACUGGAGUGUAACUGACGUUGAGGCUCGAAAGCGUGGGGAGCGAACAGGAUUAGAUACCCGUGUAGUC